UCCUAUUUCCUCCAGAAGCACAUCCACCAGCUGAUGGCUGCUCUUCCCCUUGGCCAGACAGUCCCACCGCUCCGCUCCACCAGGAAUCACUUCUGCAACAACAAAAAGAUGCUGAGCUUCUAACAGAGAGAUUCAAAACGUCUCCUGGGCACAACGUCUCCAUACUCUGCUGUCAUUGCAUUCAGCUUCACUUGGGCUUUUGUCAGGUCCUGCCGAGCCAUCUUCAAUGCCAGAGUGAGUUUCACCACGUCUUCGCCCUUGACAGCUUUUUCUGGUUGGAAAAGACCACUGAGAUGACCUUGUCCAACUGUCCACCCAUGUCCCUGCCUAAUCCCUUCCCUAUGUGCCUGUGGAUAUUUUGUUCACAAAUUUAGCUUACUUAAAGAAUCAGAUCAUAUCUGAUGAUAUUUUGGAGACGCUCAGUGCUGCGCUGUGGGUGUGCAUUGGGCCUCUGGGCAGGACAGGUUCCUACAGAGAUCUACUUUCCCCACCUUGGGCCUGGUGCUGUUUCACGUUCAGCUGCUCGUUGUGCAUGUCAUUCAGUUUUGCUAGAAGCAGUUUGCGGGCGCCGUACUCCUGGAGGUAGCGAGUGUACUCCUCAGCUACGCUCAUCUGCAGGUGCUCCACCUGCAUGAAUUGAUCAGCAUCAGUGGGAAGCCCUGGGCUGGUGUGGUGAGCCUAGAGCAGAACUAUGGGGCAGAGAGUGGUGUAAGGGAUGUGAAGUGGAAAAAGCUGUAGCAGGAGAGUGAGCAAGAAAUAACACUGUAGGAAAGGAUGGUCAGAUAGAGACAUGCCAGAAGGGUUUGGACUCUGAAGAAGGGUGCUGAAGAGUGCUCUAUCUGUGUUGUGCCUUUCAGAGAGUGAAUUACAUACAUUUUAUGCUGAGUUGCACAGUUUCUCUAUUGUAAUUCCAUGCCUAAAAAAAAACAACCAGCAGGCACCUUGGAGAGCUCCAGUGAUUCUGAUGAGAACUUUGAAGAUGCAAACUAUGCUAGUCUCAUAAAAAUGUGAGCCCUCUAUAGCAAUGCUGCUUUGCCUAUGGCCCUACACCAUCACAGCCACACCACACUGUCACCACCAAACCAGUCAGCAGCUUCAAACAAUCAUAAAAUCAUUAAUGUUGAAAUCUCUCCAAAUGAACUUUGUGUAUCUAACCCAGUUAGAGUAUUUGAAUGUUGUCUCAACAGCAGGAUUCUGGUUUUAGCAGAAUUAUAUUUCCAACAUCCUUCAUGCAAACUGCAAAACUUAAAUAGCCCAAACCAGAAGUUGGAUUAUAGGCUCUAUUCCUAGGAAAAGCAAACGUAUACCUCCCCCCGACCCCCCAGAAAGCAAACUAUAUGUAAAUUCUCAGUUGCCUCAGAGGUGGUUCUAUUUAUCUCUAUAUGAGGCUUGUAAACACCAACAAGUGGAGGAACCAAAGGAAUGUCUAGGACUGCAAAGGGAAGAAAUAUUUUUCAGUGUUACAAUCUAGCUGGUGAAACCCAAGUCUCCAAGGUUCAACAAGUGCUAUCUCCAUGACUAAGGAGCCUACAGUCUGUGCAGAAGCUGGUUGUCUGGGACAGCAGCUACAAGCCAAGGCUUCUGAUAGCAGCAGCACAGCCAGCCCUAAGGGAACACGAAUGCUCUUGAGCUGGCUGAGAUCCAGCAUCUCUACAAUACCAGCUGCUCACCACCAGCUCCAGCACUUUUCCUGGCACCAAAGGAUGAGCACUUGGGAGGAAGAGAUCAGAUGGAUCCAGCUGAAGCUGGGAGAUAGUUGACCCGUAGCCUUAUUUACCUGAGUCUGAAGAGAACACUUCUCUUCCUUCAUGUUGUCAAUAAACUUUAACAAAUGAUGUUUCUCUUGCUUUAAAGUAUUUAUUUCCACUUUCUCCUUUUCCUGCAGUGCUAAUAUCUGCUGGGUGCACUCCUCAGAGACAGUGGUGACCAUGGCCUUCAGGGGCUCUAGGGCACGAAUCAUCUCCUUCUGAUGAGCUAAAGAGAGCAGAGGUGGGUUCUUACAAUGAGCAACAAAGCCUGAAUUUUACUUUUAUUUUGUUUUCCUGAGUAUUUCAGGCUUUGUGAUAAUGAACACUGAUGAUGCCAUCAUGUUUCACUAGGUUGUCACCGUUUAAGCACAGGCAGCAUAUGGAGCUAAAGACAGCUGCUAAUUAGUGGUUUACCCUGUUUGGGAAAGCAUGUUCUUCAUAAACUUAGCUUUGCUUUCCUGUCUCCAAAUGCAAGACCUUGUGCCACCUUCUGCAUAUAAACUUGUCUACACACUCUCCCCUCUUUUCAGGGAUGCAUUGCCCUCUCUUCAUUUCCCUUUUUCAUCAGCACAGCUAAUAAAGAACUCAUCAUAUUGGCUUUGCUGCCAUCUGUGCUUUUCACUCUGAACAACUUCCCCUUUGAAUUGAAUUUUUUUCUUAAAGGCACUUAUCUGAGGGGACUAGUGUGAGUACUUGACUUGAGUGCCAGAUCCCAGUUAUGUGGUGGAACUCCACCAUCUCCUUGGUAUGGAGGCUUGCUUUUAUGGCUAAAUGAAAUUCCACCAGGAGAAGAUGUAAUUCAAAUGAGGCUGUGGCAAAGGUUUUGCUUGCUGAAUAAUGCAUAUACUCUCUCUCCUGAACGGGAUAGAAAUGCUGAUAGAUGCUGAAUAAUCUGAUUUGCAGAUAUUUUCCUCCUUGACAGAACUUUAAUAUUAGUAUUCAUGUAUGAAUAUAUGCACAUAUGCACAGCAGAUUCAGUAUUUUAAAACUUAACAUGCAUGCACAAAUCUAAAAACAGGAAUGACUUUUCUUAUUAUAGUUGGGUGUGAGUUUCCUUCCUGUGCUGUAACUGUACCAAAGGUUUUUCUGAACUCUUUCACUAUGACACUGGUACCAGGACUGCUCCUCAGGAGAUGGCAAAAAUUAGAACACCAGCAUAGCUCACUUGGUGUGAACAAAGAACACUGUGUUCUGAGGUGUAAUUGGAGUGCUUCACAGCUGGCUGCUGACCACUUGGAAAGGAGGAGUCAAUGAAACAUCUUGAGUAGAAAAUAUGCUUAAACAAAGAUAAUAAUAAUGUUAAAGUAAGCUUCAGCACAACACAAGCACUAGUAAUCCUCUGGGAGCUGAAGGAAUGUCUACUAAAGAGUUCUAGAAGGAAAGGGAUAAUAAAAUGUUGUGACGUAAUGAUUAAUACUGAUUCAUGGAUCUGACACUGAAGUGCACUGUGCAAAGAUUUCUGCCUACAGUGAGGGACUAUCAUUAGGCAGUCAGGUAACAGAUACUGGGAUAAACAAUACAUUUUAUUGAAGAAACUGUCCCAUUAAAAAAAUGUUGACAUCUGCAGGCUGCUCAGUGUGACAGGAGUUCCUAGUGACAGGCUAUUUCUAGCACACUGACUGUUUACAAAGCACUGCUAUCACUGUGGCAUCUCAGUGCCAAGAGGGGUUUAAAGCACACCACGAAUGGACAGAGAACAGCCAGUUCAGCUCUUUGCCCUGCCUUGCUUCGGGAGUAAUGCAAGCUUCAAGUUACCACUGCAAGUGCAUCCAAAUAUAUCAGUAUGAUAUAUUCUACUAUCAACAUGGUGGUUUCAGAAAAGCUCUGAGAUACGGAUGUUGCCCAAACUGUGUGUGUGGUGAAGAUCUUAAGGAUAAAUAAAUACAUAAAAACCUUAAUCUAAAUAAUAAAAAUAUGAUAUAUAUAUAUACAUAUAUAUAAACACCUGUUAUGUAUGAAGGAAGUAGACUCCCAUGUGGUACCUAGGCCAUGGGAAGACUUCACUAAUAGACCAGGAAGAUAGUUUUACCGUUUGAGAUAUUUGUAUGUCCCUCAAAGUGAACUAUUUUAUGUAAAUAUUUAGAAUGUUCAUUCUAUAUAUAUAUCCAAUAUGUAACUGGCUGUGUAAGACUACAUCUCCAUUAGUGUUUUCCCCUCAGAGGUCAAAGUCCAAGAGCUUACCCAAUGUGGCUUCAUACUCAUUCUUUAUAGCUGACAGCAAGGGCUUGUAGGUCUUGAAGUUGUCUAUGAAGAAUUCAAAUAUCUCUCUGUAGGGCUGAGAGAGGAAAGAGAGCUUGAGAAACAUGGUUUACUUCUCAGAAUUCAGAUAGUUGGGCCCUGGGCAGCAUAAUCUGGUGGGACAGCCCAUGUGCCAUCCUCAGCAGAAUAAAACUUGUUUGGAGGGACAGUCAGAGUCCCACGUUGUAUAUGGGCCUGGGAAGACUUCACUAGCAAUAGGUAAUGUUCUCACUGAGUGUACCUCGCUAUUAAAUGCAACUAAACAUAUCGUGUCAUGCAGUAAAAAUACUUUCCAAGAAUAAUGCAUUCAUGAAACCUCUGUUUUCUCUUGCUGUUAAUCAUCCAUCAGUAAUCCACUGAUGAAUUGACAGUUGGACUAGAUGAUCCUAGUGGUCUUUUCCAGUCUUAAUGAUUCUGUGGUUCUUUCCCUCCAUUCUUUUCCAUUUACCACAUUCUUUUCUUAUCACUACUGGAUUCCUCUGGGAAUUAGAAUUCAUGCAGAGAAACUCUAAUCCAAAUGUCUCACUCAGCAUAAAUGCUCUGGUUGUGUUUUGGAUUAAAGUGGUGGUUUUCAGUGUC